rnacentral:rRNA from 1 species
GACGUAGGAGGCGAGCGUUAUCCGGAUUUACUGGGCGUAAAGGGCAAGUAGGCGGUUGUCAAAGUUGGGCGUGACAGCUCCCGGCUCAACUGGGGGUAGGCGUUCAAAACUAGGCGACUAGAGGGCAGGAGAGGGAAGUGGAAUUCCCAGUGUAGCGGUGGAAUGCUCAGAUAUUGGGAAGAACACCAGUGGCGAAGGCGGCUUCCUGGUCUGCACCUGACGCUGAGAGGCGAAAGCUAGGGGAGCGAACGGGCUUAGAUACC